CCCAGCGGAGCUUUCUAUGUGCUCUGGAGGGAGGGGCGAAGAAGUGGGAGCCACGGCCUUGACUCUGGUGGAGGGAACCUCGCUGGCUGGUGGCAGCCCUCUGGCUGGCCUGCCUCCUCCCCACCAGCUGACCACACUGCCGUCUAGGAGGCCCGGCUGUGCCCCAACAAUGCUGCUUUGUGCCAAGAGGGACCCAGAGCCUUGUAAAGGAGGAGCCCCUGCCACCAUCUCCCCAGUUUUGGAGGCACUUCGGGGGAGCAGGAGAUCCCAAGACGAGAUCGUGCCCCUCACCUGGUGCCCCUAAAUCCAAGGACAGAUGUCCCAUCGGAGACACACGGCGGGAAGGUGGAGGAGGCCACGUGAUGGCGGAGCAGAGGCUGGGGCCACGGGGCCACACGCCCCAGAAACCUGGACACCCCGGAGCCGGAGGGUCCGCCCCUAGAGCUUCUAGAAGGGGCGUGACGCCUGGAUUUGGGGCUUUCGUUCCCAGAAAUGUGAGAAAAUAAUUUGUCGUUAUAAGCCAACACCUUGUCGUAUGUGACGGCAGCUGGGGACCCUCGUACACCCUGUACGGGGCUCUGUGGUGCCCCCCCCCACCCUUGCAGAGCGGAGAGGUGACGUUACUUUGGUGGAGACAUUUUUGUGAGUGGCCCCCAGCUGCUCCCAGGGGAAAGGCUGCCGCGGAGAAGCCUGCGUGGGUCAGAGAGGGUGACCCCUGUCCCCGGCCACACCCACCCACCGUCCCAGCCGCUGGGGCUGUGCGCGGCCUUAGCUCAGAAACGGAGCAUGUCUUGCAGGCGCCAAGGCUGGUGCCCUGUGCAGGUGGGCCCCUGAGGGAGAGCUGAGUGUCCCCUCCAUCACUGCCUGUGAGCAUGGACCUGCUGUGUGCCCAGCUUGAGAGGCACCCAGGGGCUUCGGGCCCACGCCUAGUCCAGAGCGGGUGCCCAGGGGACAGAGCCCACUCAGGGACCAGCCCCAUAACACCAGGAAGCACAGGCCGAGGAGGCCUCCCACCCAGAUUCUGGGACCUUCUGGCUCCCAGGGGGCCUGUGGGAAUCCUGUCCCUCCUCUGAGGAGCCCAGCUGCCCCCGAUGCCCGGUGGGGCCCCUUCCCCCGCCUCAGGGCCUGCGUGGUCCUUGGGGAGCUCGCAGAGGCUGGGGUUUCCAUGGCCACCAGCCUCUCCUCUGCCCAGGAUCUGCU
rnacentral:lncRNA from 9 species